GAUGAACGCUGACAGAAUGCUUAACACAUGCAAGUCAACUUGAACUUCGGUUUGGGUGGCGGACGGGUGAGUAACGCGUAAAGAACUUGCCUCACAGAUAGGGACAACAUUUGGAAACGAAUGCUAAUACCUGAUAUUAUGAUUUUAGGGCAUCCUAGGAUUAUGAAAGCUAUAUGCACUGUGAGAGAGCUUUGCGUCCCAUUAGCUAGUUGGAGAGGUAACGGCUCACCAAGGCGAUGAUGGGUAGCCGGCCUGAGAGGGUGAUCGGCCACAAGGGGACUGAGACACGGCCCUUACUCCUACGGGAGGCAGCAGUGGGGAAUAUUGGACAAUGGACCAAGAGUCUGAUCCAGCAAUUCUGUGUGCACGAUGAAGUUUUUCGGAAUGUAAAGUGCUUUCAGUUGGGAAGAAAAAAAUGACGGUACCAACAGAAGAAGUGACGGCUAAAUACGUGCCAGCAGCCGCGGUAAUACGUAUGUCACAAGCGUUAUCCGGAUUUAUUGGGCGUAAAGCGCGUCUAGGUGGUUAUGUAAGUCUGAUGUGAAAAUGCAGGGCUCAACUCUGUAUUGCGUUGGAAACUGUGUAACUAAAGUACUGGAGAGGUAAGCGGAACUACAAGUGUAGAGGUGAAAUUCGUAGAUAUUUGUAGGAAUGCCGAUGGGGAAGCCAGCUUACUGGACAGAUACUGACGCUGAAGCGCGAAAGCGUGGGUAGCAAACAGGAUUAUAUACCCUGGUAGUCCAAGGGCGAAUUCCACAGCGGAUAUUAAGUUUAUCGAUCCCGUCGACCCCAGGGGGGGGCUAUAUAUAAAAAAAAUUGUUUCCUUUUUGAGGGUUAUUAUAU
rnacentral:rRNA from 1 species